GCUGGGAUAGCUCAAUUGGUAGAGCAACGGUAUCGUAAACCGUCGGUUCCGAGUUCGAUUCUCGGUCCCAGCU
rnacentral:tRNA from 1 species